GAUGAACGCUGGCGGCGUGCCUAAUACAUGCAAGUCGAGCGAACAGACGAGGAGCUUGCUCCUCUGACGUUAGCGGCGGACGGGUGAGUAACACGUGGAUAACCUACCUAUAAGACUGGGAUAACUUCGGGAAACCGGAGCUAAUACCGGAUAAUAUAUUGAACCGCAUGGUUCAAUAGUGAAAGACGGUUUUGCUGUCACUUAUAGAUGGAUCCGCGCCGCAUUAGCUAGUUGGUAAGGUAACGGCUUACCAAGGCGACGAUGCGUAGCCGACCUGAGAGGGUGAUCGGCCACACUGGAACUGAGACACGGUCCAGACUCCUACGGGAGGCAGCAGUAGGGAAUCUUCCGCAAUGGGCGAAAGCCUGACGGAGCAACGCCGCGUGAGUGAUGAAGGUCUUCGGAUCGUAAAACUCUGUUAUUAUGGAAGAACAAAUGUGUAAGUAACUAUGCACGUCUUGACGGUACCUAAUCAGAAAGCCACGGCUAACUACGUG
rnacentral:rRNA from 1 species